UGGGGAAUUUUGCGCAAUGGGGGAAACCCUGACGCAGCGACGCCGCGUGGAGGAUGAAGGCCCUUGGGUUGUAAACUCCUGUCAGGAAGGACGAACGGCAGGGUAGUUAAUACCUGCCCUGUUUGACGGUACUUCCAGAGGAAGCUCCGGCUAACUCCGUGCCAGCAGCCGCGGUAAGACGGAGGGAGCAAGCGUUGCUCGGAAUCACUGGGCGUAAAGGGCGUGUAGGCGGGAUGGUCAGUCGGAUGUGAAAGCCCCGGGCUCAACCCGGGAAGUGCAUUCGAUACUGCCGUUCUUGAGUGUGGUAGAGGAGAGCGGAAUUCCUGGUGUAGCGGUGAAAUGCGUAGAUAUCAGGAAGAACACCUGUGGCGAAGGCGGCUCUCUGGACCAAUACUGACGCUGAGGCGCGAAAGCUAGGGGAGCGAACGGGAUUAGAUACCCCCGUAGUCC
rnacentral:rRNA from 1 species